rnacentral:rRNA from 1 species
UACGGAGGGUGCAAGCGUUAUCCGGAUUCACUGGGUUUAAAGGGUGCGUAGGAGGGCAUGUAAGUCAGUGGUGAAAUCCCCGAGCUUAACUUGGGAACUGCCGUUGAUACUAUCUGUCUUGAAUAUUGUGGAGGUGAGCGGAAUAUGUCAUGUAGCGGUGAAAUGCUUAGAUAUGACAUAGAACACCAAUUGCGAAGGCAGCUCGCUACACAUAUAUUGACUCUGAGGCACGAAAGCGUGGGGAUCAAACAGG